rnacentral:rRNA from 1 species
GACGAACGCUGGCGGCGUGCUUAACACAUGCAAGUCGAACGCUGAAGCUCAGCUUUUGUUGGGUGGAUGAGUGGCGAACGGGUGAGUAACACGUGAGUAACCUGCCCCCUUCUUUGGGAUAACGCCCGGAAACGGGUGCUAAUACUGGAUAUUCACUGGUCUUCGCAUGGGGGUUGGUGGAAAGGGUUUUUCUGGUGGGGGAUGGGCUCGCGGCCUAUCAGCUUGUUGGUGGUGUGAUGGCCUACCAAGGCUUUGACGGGUAGCCGGCCUGAGAGGGUGACCGGUCACAUUGGGACUGAGAUACGGCCCAGACUCCUACGGGAGGCAGCAGUGGGGAAUAUUGCACAAUGGGCGCAAGCCUGAUGCAGCGACGCCGCGUGAGGGAUGGAGGCCUUCGGGUUGUGAACCUCUUUCGCUCAUGGUCAAGCCGCAACAAUGGUUGUGGUGAGGGUAGUGGGUAAAGAAGCGCCGGCUAACUACGUG